UACGUAGGGUGCGAGCGUUGUCCGGAAUUAUUGGGCGUAAAGAGCUCGUAGGCGGCUUGUCGCGUCGGAUGUGAAAGCCCGGGGCUUAACUCCGGGUCUGCAUUCGAUACGGGCAGGCUGGAGUGCGGUAGGGGAGAUCGGAAUUCCUGGUGUAGCGGUGAAAUGCGCAGAUAUCAGGAGGAACACCGGUGGCGAAGGCGGAUCUCUGGGCCGUUACUGACGCUGAGGAGCGAAAGCGUGGGGAGCGAACAGG
rnacentral:rRNA from 1 species